GACGAACGCUGGCGGCGUGCCUAACACAUGCAAGUCAACGAGAAAAGGGUAGCAAUAUCCUGAGUAAAGUGGCGCACGGGUGAGUAACACGUAGGUAAUCUGCCAUUAGGACGGGGACAACCACGCGAAAGCGUGGCUAAUACCCGAUGAAUCAGCGGCGCCGCAUGGCGUUGUUGUUAAAUACCGCAAGGUGCCUGGUGAUGAACCUGCGUCCCAUUAGGUAGUUGGGAGGUAACGGCUCACCAAGCCGACGAUGGGUAGCUGGUCUGAGAGGAUGAUCAGCCACAC
rnacentral:rRNA from 1 species